GCCAUGAGAAACAUUUGAGAAACCUCCUCUGAUCCACGUAGACCGCGAGAAAUGGGUGGAAAAUGCCCGAUCGGUCCACAGCGGUCAUGUGGACCAUGCAACACCCUGUGGUCCAUCGUGGACCUCAAGAAAAAAUGGGGCCUGGGCACCCCGUGCGCUUACUAGGCCGGCCCGCGCAUAUGGCCUGCUUAGUCCCGGGCCGUGCCUGUAUGUCCGCAUGCUGGGCCAUACUGUCGGGCUUGGUUGUGCCACCGCUGGCUUCCAACGCUUCGUGGGCCGUGCGACCACGCUCUGGUC
rnacentral:lncRNA from 1 species